CACCUACCUUGGGACUCUGCGGUCUCGUUGUUGGGCUUCUCAGCCUCUCGCUCGGAUUAGCGAGCUGCCCCUCCGGCUCCGUCUCCACUGCUGCUGUUGCGGCUUGUUCCAGCCACUGCUAUCCACCCAUCUGUGUGGUUGGGGACUCCACGUCCACAGUAACUGUCCGCGAAGGCGCUCAUUGCCCGCAGUGAUAAUCUCUGUACAAUAAAGCACCUGUUGAACCCGCACCUGAAUCCAGCCUCGUUUUCCGUGGAACGGCACAAAGUGAAGAUGAAUGAAGGGCAGCAUGCAGAUGACACCUGUGGCAAGUACUUCAGAGACUGAGACACGGAAAGACCCUCUAAGCAACAUUACUAUGAAGCUUACUGGAUAAACAGUAUGAAGUAUUGACAUUGGAAAUGAUCAAACUAAAAUUAGAAACACAAAAACUUAAAUUAGAGAAAACUAAACUGAAGGUGGAGCUACACAACCUUGGAUAUGGAGAGUAGAUCUCAUUAACCACUGAAUGCAAGAAUUAAUUCAUCAGUUAAUAGUGUGUUACUGUAAGGCAUUUCUGCAUAGUGUAAUGCUAAUCUAAAUUAAAAUCUUGUUCUAAAUUUAUCAUUAUAAAUUAGCUAUUUUAUUGUU